UUUUAUCUUGGUACUUUUGUUACUUUAAAUUGAUUUUCUAUACAAGGGAAGUCCUCCUGGAUUUGACCUCUAUCCGUUUCAUCUCAUUUUUACAUACACACCAGCUGUUAGCAGGUGGUGAAGAAGAUUGGACAAUGGGCCUUAGCUGGAGACCAAAGCAUCACUUUAUCCCCUUCUCUCUGAACUGUGCUGACGUUCCCAGUGGCCGCUGGGGGGAGCCACAUACCCAUGUUCUCUCAGCCUUAAUCUAGUCCUUCUUUAAGGAAGUUGAGAUCAUAUUUACCUUGUGGCCAAUAUGAAAAGUAAAUUGUUUUAAAUGCCUUUGGAAAGAAAGCAGCAAUUCAAACUUACAAAUUUAUGGGUUUUAAUUUGAAUCAAAUAUUGUAUUUGACUUUCUCCCUUCUUUUCUCUAGAGGUUGUGAAAGCUAAUGAAAAAGGGAAUGUAUUUUGAAGGAGAAAUGCAGACUUGCAAAGCACUGCUUUCCUAUCUUCCUUCACUUCUCAGGUUCCUUGGGCCAAAACCUGUCUCAUAUCUCAAGCUGUGAUGAUAAAAGUUGUAUUGAGCAGAAUGUCGUCAACCAAACCAUGAACCUUGGACAAGAGAUUCUGGCUUCUGGCCAAGAGCACAAGGCAGUGCCUUCUUUGUAAUGAAGACUGAGAUAAAGAUCUCUGGGACUAGACCAGCACACCAUUGAUCUGGGGCAUAGCUAACUACUGUGGCAACAACAGCCCUGAAAACAACAUAGUUAUGGAACAUAAGAGUAACCUGGCUUCAGUCAUGUGCAUCCCUGAGUCUCUGCUGUAUGUUCUGCCAUGGAAAAACCAUGGAAAUGCACAUACACUGUAAGAAGAAAGGAGAGAGGAAGAAGAAUGAUUCAGAUGAAAGGUCACCUUCUUCGUGGAGGUCAGCCUUCCUCUAGGCUGACUUCACUGUUUUUCAACUGAUCUUGGACUGGCUGCUGUGAAUGCCUCAGUUACAGGUCUUAGCAUAUUGUUCUAAUAGUUGACUUUCUUGUCUGUUUUUUCAUUAGACUGGAUGCUUUUUACGGGCAAGAAAAUUCCUUGUCCCUCUGUUUCUUAACUCUUAAAUUUGUAAUAGAUGUUUUGGAUUUGAACUCUAGUGUGCCAAACCCACUGUGAUAUAAAGCUGUAUUUUCAUUAGUGAUUUCCAAAUGAUUAUUGAAAAAACAUACUCAGUGCUUAAUACUUUAUAAAAUGUUUAUAAUAUAUACACAUUGCCAAAUUCAGGAAAUACUGAAUACUUUUUAGAAGAAAAUAAACCUUGAUAAUUAUAUAAUCUAAAUAUACUUAAUAUUUCAUUUCCUUUGUGUUUUUUUAUUUAGAAUUUUUAUAAGUUGACAUAUG
rnacentral:lncRNA from 1 species